AAAUUGAAGAGUUUGAUCAUGGCUCAGAUUGAACGCUGGCGGCAGGCCUAACACAUGCAAGUCGAACGGUAACAGGAAACAGCUUGCUGUUUCGCUGACGAGUGGCGGACGGGUGAGUAAUGUCUGGGAAACUGCCCGAUGGAGGGGGAUAACUACUGGAAACGGUAGCUAAUACCGCAUAACGUCGCAAGACCAAAGAGGGGGACCUUCGGGCCUCUUGCCAUCGGAUGUGCCCAGAUGGGAUUAGCUUGUUGGUGAGGUAACGGCUCACCAAGGCGACGAUCCCUAGCUGGUCUGAGAGGAUGACCAGCCACACUGGAACUGAGACACGGUCCAGACUCCUACGGGAGGCAGCAGUGGGGAAUAUUGCACAAUGGGCGCAAGCCUGAUGCAGCCAUGCCGCGUGUAUGAAGAAGGCCUUCGGGUUGUAAAGUACUUUCAGCGGGGAGGAAGGGAGUAAAGUUAAUACCUUUGCUCAUUGACGUUACCCGCAGAAGAAGCACCGGCUAACUCCGUGCCAGCAGCCGCGGUAAUACGGAGGGUGCAAGCGUUAAUCGGAAUUACUGGGCGUAAAGCGCACGCAGGCGGUUUGUUAAGUCAGAUGUGAAAUCCCCGGGCUCAACCUGGGAACUGCAUCUGAUACUGGCAAGCUUGAGUCUCGUAGAGGGGGGUAGAAUUCCAGGUGUAGCGGUGAAAUGCGUAGAGAUCUGGAGGAAUACCGGUGGCGAAGGCGGCCCCCUGGACGAAGACUGACGCUCAGGUGCGAAAGCGUGGGGAGCAAACAGGAUUAGAUACCCUGGUAGUCCACGCCGUAAACGAUGUCGACUUGGAGGUUGUGCCCUUGAGGCGUGGCUUCCGGAGCUAACGCGUUAAGUCGACCGCCUGGGGAGUACGGCCGCAAGGUUAAAACUCAAAUGAAUUGACGGGGGCCCGCACAAGCGGUGGAGCAUGUGGUUUAAUUCGAUGCAACGCGAAGAACCUUACCUGGUCUUGACAUCCACGGAAGUUUUCAGAGAUGAGAAUGUGCCUUCGGGAACCGUGAGACAGGUGCUGCAUGGCUGUCGUCAGCUCGUGUUGUGAAAUGUUGGGUUAAGUCCCGCAACGAGCGCAACCCUUAUCCUUUGUUGCCAGCGGUUAGGCCGGGAACUCAAAGGAGACUGCCAGUGAUAAACUGGAGGAAGGUGGGGAUGACGUCAAGUCAUCAUGGCCCUUACGACCAGGGCUACACACGUGCUACAAUGGCGCAUACAAAGAGAAGCGACCUCGCGAGAGCAAGCGGACCUCAUAAAGUGCGUCGUAGUCCGGAUUGGAGUCUGCAACUCGACUCCAUGAAGUCGGAAUCGCUAGUAAUCGUGGAUCAGAAUGCCACGGUGAAUACGUUCCCGGGCCUUGUACACACCGCCCGUCACACCAUGGGAGUGGGUUGCAAAAGAAGUAGGUAGCUUAACCUUCGGGAGGGCGCUUACCACUUUGUGAUUCAUGACUGGGGUGAAGUCGUAACAAGGUAACCGUAGGGGAACCUGCGGUUGGAUCACCUCCUUA
rnacentral:rRNA from 1 species